rnacentral:tRNA from 1 species
GUAUAGCUCAGUCGGUAGAGCAUCAGGCUUUUAAUCUGAGGGUCGCCGGUUUGAGUCCCUCUGC